rnacentral:rRNA from 1 species
UACGAAGGGGGCUAGCGUUGCUCGGAAUUACUGGGCGUAAAGGGCGCGUAGGCGGCACUGUUAGUCAGGCGUGAAAGUCCUGGGCUCAACCGUGGGAACUGCGCUUGAUACGGCAGAGCUAGAGGAUGGAAGAGGGUCGCGGAAUUCCCAGUGUAGAGGUGAAAUCGUAGAUAUUGGGAAGAACACCGGUGGCGAAGGCGGCGACCUGGUCCAUUACUGACGCUGAGGCGC